rnacentral:rRNA from 1 species
ACGGGAGGCAGCAGUUAGGAAUAUUGGACAGUGGGGGCAACCCCGAUCCAGCCAUGCCGCGUGAGUGUUAAGGCCUUCGGGUCGUAAAGCUCUUUUGUAUGGGAAAAUGAUGAUGGUACCAUAAGAAUAAGCACCGGCUAACUUCGUGCCAGCAGCCGCGGUAAUACGAAGGGUGCAAGCGUUGUUCGGAAUUACUGGGCGUAAAGGGCGCGUAGGCGGACAAAUUAGUCAGGAGUGAAAUCCCGGGGCUCAACCUCGGAACUGCUUUUGAAACGGUUUGUCUUGAGUGUGACAGGGGAUGAUGGAAUACCCAGUGUAGAGGUGAAAUUCGUAGAUAUUGGGUAGAACACCAGAGGCGAAGGCGGUCAUCUGGGUCAUUACUGACGCUGAGGCGCGAAAGCGUGGGGAUCAAACAGGAUUAGAUACCCUGGUA